rnacentral:rRNA from 2 species
GAGUUUGAUCCUGGCUCAGGAUGAACGCUGGCGGCGUGCCUAAUACAUGCAAGUCGAGCGAACGGACGAGAAGCUUGCUUCUCUGAUGUUAGCGGCGGACGGGUGAGUAACACGUGGAUAACCUACCUAUAAGACUGGGAUAACUUCGGGAAACCGGAGCUAAUACCGGAUAAUAUUUUGAACCGCAUGGUUCAAAAGUGAAAGACGGUCUUGCUGUCACUUAUAGAUGGAUCCGCGCUGCAUUAGCUAGUUGGUAAGGUAACGGCUUACCAAGGCAACGAUGCAUAGCCGACCUGAGAGGGUGAUCGGCCACACUGGAACUGAGACACGGUCCAGACUCCUACGGGAGGCAGCAGUAGGGAAUCUUCCGCAAUGGGCGAAAGCCUGACGGAGCAACGCCGCGUGAGUGAUGAAGGUCUUCGGAUCGUAAAACUCUGUUAUUAGGGAAGAACAUAUGUGUAAGUAACUGUGCACAUCUUGACGGUACCUAAUCAGAAAGCCACGGCUAACUACGUGCCAGCAGCCGCGGUAAUACGUAGGUGGCAAGCGUUAUCCGGAAUUAUUGGGCGUAAAGCGCGCGUAGGCGGUUUUUUAAGUCUGAUGUGAAAGCCCACGGCUCAACCGUGGAGGGUCAUUGGAAACUGGAAAACUUGAGUGCAGAAGAGGAAAGUGGAAUUCCAUGUGUAGCGGUGAAAUGCGCAGAGAUAUGGAGGAACACCAGUGGCGAAGGCGACUUUCUGGUCUGUAACUGACGCUGAUGUGCGAAAGCGUGGGGAUCAAACAGGAUUAGAUACCCUGGUAGUCCACGCCGUAAACGAUGAGUGCUAAGUGUUAGGGGGUUUCCGCCCCUUAGUGCUGCAGCUAACGCAUUAAGCACUCCGCCUGGGGAGUACGACCGCAAGGUUGAAACUCAAAGGAAUUGACGGGGACCCGCACAAGCGGUGGAGCAUGUGGUUUAAUUCGAAGCAACGCGAAGAACCUUACCAAAUCUUGACAUCCUUUGACAACUCUAGAGAUAGAGCCUUCCCCUUCGGGGGGGCAAAGUGACAGGUGGUGCAUGGUUGUCGUCAGCUCGUGUCGUGAGAUGUUGGGUUAAGUCCCGCAACGAGCGCAACCCUUAAGCUUAGUUGCCAUCAUUAAGUUGGGCACUCUAAGUUGACUGCCGGUGACAAACCGGAGGAAGGUGGGGAUGACGUCAAAUCAUCAUGCCCCUUAUGAUUUGGGCUACACACGUGCUACAAUGGACAAUACAAAGGGCAGCGAAACCGCGAGGUCAAGCAAAUCCCAUAAAGUUGUUCUCAGUUCGGAUUGUAGUCUGCAACUCGACUACAUGAAGCUGGAAUCGCUAGUAAUCGUAGAUCAGCAUGCUACGGUGAAUACGUUCCCGGGUCUUGUACACACCGCCCGUCACACCACGAGAGUUUGUAACACCCGAAGCCGGUGGAGUAACCUUUUAGGAGCUAGCCGUCGAAGGUGGGACAAAUGAUUGGGGUGAAGUCGUAACAAGGUAGCCGUAUCGGAAGGUGCGGCUGGAUCACC